UACAGAGGUCUCAAGCGUUGUUCGGAUUCAUUGGGCGUAAAGGGUGCGUAGGCGGCGCGGUAAGUCGGGUGUGAAAUCUCGGAGCUUAACUCCGAAACUGCAUUCGAUACUGCCGUGCUUGAGGACUGGAGAGGAGACUGGAAUUCCCGGUGUAGCGGUGGAAUGCGCAGAUAUCGGGAGGAACACCCGUGGCGAAGGCGGGUCCCUGGGACGGUACUGACGCUGAGACGCGAAAGCGUGGGGAGCGAACAGG
rnacentral:rRNA from 1 species